UACGUAGGGGGCAAGCGUUGUCCGGAUUUAUUGGGCUUAAAGGGCGCGUAGGCGGCUUAUUAAGUCAGUGCUGAAAUAUCCCGGCUUAACCGGGAGGGUGGCAUUGAUACUGAUGGACUUGAGUAAAGUUGAGGUGGGGGGAAUUGACGGUGUAGCGGUGAAAUGCUUAGAUAUCGUCAAGAACACCUAUUGCGAAGGCAGCUCACUAAGCUUUAACUGACACUGAGGCACGAAAGUGUGGGGAGCAAACAGG
rnacentral:rRNA from 1 species